AGUGAACGCUGGCGGUAGGCCUAACACAUGCAAGUCGAACGGCAGCACCGUAAGAGCUUGCUCUUACGGGUGGCGAGUGGCGGACGGGUGAGGAAUACACCGGAAUCUACUUUUUCGUGGGGGAUAACGUAGGGAAACUUACGCUAAUACCGCAUACGACCUACGGGUGAAAGCAGGGGAUCUUCGGACCUUGCGCGAUUGAAUGAGCCGAUGUCGGAUUAGCUAGUUGGCGGGGUAAAGGCCCACCAAGGCGACGAUCCGUAGCUGGUCUGAGAGGAUGAUCAGCCACACUGGAACUGAGACACGGUCCAGACUCCUACGGGAGGCAGCAGUGGGGAAUAUUGGACAAUGGGCGCAAGCCUGAUCCAGCCAUACCGCGUGGGUGAAGAAGGCCUUCGGGUUGUAAAGCCCUUUUGUUGGGAAAGAAGAGCAGCAGGUUAAUACCCCGCUGUUCUGACGGUACCCAAAGAAUAAGCACCGGCUAACUUCGUG
rnacentral:rRNA from 1 species